UUAAAGUCGUUGAAAAAAUAUUUAAAAGUUACAAAUAUAUUGAAAGGAAAAGUCAGAUACUCUACGUAAGGCAAUGAACAGACUUUAAACCACCAAUGGUAGCCAGUAGCUAUUACCUCAGAGAUUCAAAAGCUUGUGCAGGAGCAGCCCUGAUAUAGAUGAUACCCAGAUGAAUAUAUAGAACAUUUUCAGAAUCUCAAAAAUCUUGCUGUGCCUUCUCCCACUGCAUAGUCCCAGGCCAAAGCAUCAGCAGAGUGGCAGGAAGAAAAAGCUGGAGCCUUAAAGGAAUCUAACCUUGAAAGAGUUUAUUCCCAAUGGAACAUUCUACUCAGCUUCCUGCAAGAUUCUACCUUCACCUGAGGUGACCUAGGCUCCUAUUUUCUCUGUUCGGAGAACUCACUGCAAAGACAUUCAUGUGGCACCAGACCUACUUUCUCUUCAGAAAAGUCACCUACACAAGCCUCCUUUCGUGGAUAGCUUUCCGGACCGGUUACAACAAGAUCCUUUCUCUGAGGAGUGGGUUAGAGCAGCCAAGGAGGCGG
rnacentral:lncRNA from 1 species